UGGUGUCAGGGCUGUGGCGGGGGUGUGGCAGGGCUGCUGCCGAUAGUCGACGCAUGACGAAGCAGACGUUCGAAACGCCCAACGCCAUC
rnacentral:tRNA from 1 species